GGCCCCAGACUUUUUACUGAGCUGGCAGCACAGAGAUUAAUGAUUUGCACAGGCUCACCCCACGGUGCCUGGCAGCUGGGACACAGCCACCAUGGCCUUUACUUCCGACAGAGAUAAGGCCAGGGCUCUGGAAGACAACGAGAUGGGAGAGAGGGCAGACUCAAAAGGAGGCCAGCAUCCCUAGCUGCAAAUACAAAGGACAACCUAUCAUGAAAGCUGAAGUCCCCCAGGAGCAGGAUGAUGGUAUCUUCUAAACUUGGAAUGUGCAUCAAGCACUAAUGAGCCAUAAUAAUACAUAUUUUGCAUAUUUUCCUUGGAUUUAUUUCUUAUGCAUGCCUGUAUACUUUAAAAUAAGAUGCUGAUAUGAAAAAUGAAUCCACAUUGAAGGUUCAAGACAUCCAUAUUAUUCACAGCACCUCUGUGCUGCUAAACUUUUCAGAAGAUAUCAGAAAUGAGAGAUGCCUUCUUGGACAUAUCUGUGAUAAGCUAAUGUCUAGAUCUAAAGUACCAUCAAAUAAAUAGUAUUGGUCAGAUGUCUAAAAUUCCAGCAUAACAAUAUAUAUGUGAAGCAGCUGUGCAAUGUUUGAUGUUAGCUAUGUACCAAAUUUAAUUAGAUAUUUCUAUUUCUAGAGUAAAAUUGAUAUAGACUGAGCAACUGGGAAGGAUUCUUUGUCAGUUAGAGCCUGGCUCUGCUUCUCAGCACACAAAGCAAGAAAACCAUCUGUGAAGGGCCUCUGAAACAUGGGAUCUAGCCAAAGAACAGCAGCUGGAGAUCAGGAAAUUGCUUGCCAUGGAAUACAGAGGCAACACUUGAAGACAUAGCUUUAAGUCUCAAAAUGUAAGAUAAAUUUAAGAAAGUGAAGGUCCGGACCAAAAAAAAAAAAAAAAAAAAAAAGCCUAAUUUUGCAGAGAUGGCAGACUAAGGUAUGGCAUACUCCUACUCAAAACAACUGUACAUUCUUUGACUUCUUCCUUCCUGAUGGCCAAGAUAAGAUUUAUUUAACAACUACAAAAAUAUAUGAAGACUGCUGUGGUUUAUCUUUUGACAGUUCAGCUGAGAUGUUCUGGACUAGGUGGAUGAAAGUUGGUCCCUAACAUUCUACUCUAAGUUUUAAAUUUACUGGAUAACCACAAGAAAAAACAACAGGUUAAUUUCACAUGCUUCAGUACCUUAAGAGCUUUUCUGUCUAUCUAGAAAUAUUCCUUUAUUUGUUUGAUUUAUAUAUUUGCAAAGUUCUUCUCCUUCGUUAAUUACAAAAGGCAACAAAGAGUAAAAGGAGAAAUCUUAAAAUAUACCUAAAUAAGAAAAGAUACAUAUCUUGGAAAAUAAGUAUAUCAGAUCAUAACAAUUUACUGAUUUUUUUUUUUUUUUAAUUUUUAAUCUGCAUAAUGUAAUGAAAUUAAAUCCUUUGCUUUUCUUGGCACAAGACCCAUUGGAAAAAAUCACGUUAUAUGUUGAAGUGUUCUUUUAUUUUUUUUACAAGAUAUGAAACGGGAAGGGUGGAGGGGGGAACAAAAUUUCUUCAGAGGGAAUAGCAGAGCUUAAAAACUAAAGCCAAACAAAAAAGAUUUCCAGACCAGCAACAUCCUCUGGCUGUUUGAUAAAAAGCCUGAACAGCUACACAAGGUCAAAAUAGCGUGGUAGGAAGGGAUUUACUUUUUCUGCACAUAAAAUUGGAUUUUUAAGUUCAAGGUCUAGAUUUCUUUCUUUUACAUCUGCAGUACCUCUGGCAAAGAAAACAACCUGUUCUCUUUCACAUUUUAUAUUUAUAUGACCAUGAACAUACUAUUACGUUUCAAUAAACUCGUGUUUACAAGCAGGUAGUAAAAUGUUGAGAAAAUCAUGCUAAUAACUGUACAGAUAUCAGGUUCUGUUUUAAAUCUUUAGUUAUUACAGCUUGCUGUGGAAACACAGCAGUUUAAGCACUGAGUAUUAAAGAGUUUGUGGAGUGCUAUAAAUUUCAGAUGCAUUUAUGUUAUAUGGUACUGUGCAAAUCAUAAUCUGAAAGUCAGUUUCAUUUGUGCAAUGUGUGCUUUAAUAGAAGAAAAACAGUUCAAGCAUGUGUGCUUUCCAUUUUUACAAGGAUCUUAAAAGAUUAUUUAAGUUGAAGGAAAAGCAGCUUCGAAUGAAAUUUGAGCUACUACCUGAAGAAAAGAUGGCAAGGAAUAACUGAAAUGAUAAAGCACUUAGUAAAAUUCUAACUUUCUCUGUUUUAUGAGCAAUUAAAAAUUUUCUCUAACAUUCCAUUGAGGGGCAGGGAAGACGACAAAAUUACCUUAUGAGCAAUUCUAUCAUGCAAAUCACUUAAUCUGAUUCCGUGUUAUGGUUUGAUUCCAGUCAGUUCUCAACUACUGAUUAUUUUGAUACAUAACUACAUUAACAAGCAGGACAGCUUUGUUCCUUGGGCUGCGUGGAAGUGGAGCAUCUUUCUUGGUUUGCCCACAAAUAAGGAAAAAACAGAAAGGGAAAAAAAAAAAAAAGGAAAAGGAAAAAGUGCAAAUGGGAAAAGAAGCAAACGCAGCGUAACAGUGCAAAGCUGUAACAGUCCUGGAGGAAACUCUCCAGAGAAAACAAACAAGUGGGCAGUACAGAAUGAGGGAACGCAAAACACCCUCAGUCACAGAGAUUUGAGAAGACAUAUUCUAUUCUAUUCUAUUCUAUUCUAUUCUAUUCUAUUCUAUUCUAUUCUAUUCUAUUCUAUUCUAUUCUAACCCCAACACAGGGUUCUGCUGACCUUAGGAGGCUGCAAAGCAUUAGCAGUUUGGGGGUGCCUGCCAUAGUUUAUAUUACUGUGUUGCUAAAGUUUACCAGAACUAAAUGCUGGCAAACAUAUCCAUCAUAACCGUACGCAAUGUUACUGUGAGCAAUUGCAGUUGUAUCUUGCAGUGCUCAUGUCAUUAAAAGACUGCUGCCAUAGGUACACAUUUACCUAAUCACAGUCACUUUCUUCCCAGGAUAAUGCCACUCUUGAGCAUCUUUUUGCAAAUUUCUACUUGUAUUGGAAGUUCUUCAGCUAGCAAUUUCAAGAAAAAAGAAACCUGUUUAUAUUCAUCAUCUUCAGUAAUUUGUAAAAGGACCUACUUUCACCUGGACCUUGAAUGUUGCCUUAGUUACAGAAGAUGGCCAAAAUAAGAGAAUCUAAAAUAAAAUAUAGGUUGGAAAACUUCAGAGGGAAGCUGAUUUAUUUCUUUUUAAAUAGUGUCUAUGUCUCUUAAAUAAGAAAGAAUAACACAGCACUCACAGUAGAGACCAGUCUGACUGUUAGGUCUGGAAUAGGACACAGAAAUAUUUAUUUUGUCCUGUACAAGACUUCUGGUGAUUGGGGAUUAAGAGAUAAAUUCUAUCCAAAUACACUGUAGAAGUUAAUACCCUCCCCACGUUCCUUGCCACAGCCUACCAUCAUCACAAGAGUCAGGAGAAACUGUUAGUAACAGAGAAUCUGAGCUAAGACAAUACACAUGUUGUCUCCUGCUAAUAUUGCUGGGAGGCAGCAAUCUCUUGAGAAAGAAUACAGAUCUGGGUUUUAAAACCUAAGCUACAAUAACAAGAGCUGCCAGUGGUUGUAAAUAGCAGCAAGUAAACAUAGUGAUUCAAGAGUCAUUCUGUACUAGUAAAUGAGUAUUAAAUACAUUAAAUACACUGUAUUAUAUGAAUAACUGUAUGUUAGUCUAAAUAUAUGGCAUUAAUUUAACAAAGGAUUAGUUCCCACGAGUAGAAAAGAAUGCAACACCUUCAGAUAACUACCUAUCUAGCAACACUUGAGAGGCAAUACAAGGAUUGACCUCUUGUUGAACUCACCAGCCCACGUCAAAGAGGAAAGUCAUAGAGAAAAUGGGAAGAACAAAGGAUCUGAAACUGUUUUAAAACUCUAAAAGCACUUACUCUUCAGAAAUUGCACUCAGAUAAAUAAGAUGCCUUAUUUUUUAUAAAGAAAUCAAAAUUCCUAGGUUCCAAGAAAAGGGGGAAAGACACAAGUAAAAUAAUUAUCAACAUAGUUAUUUCAUCUGUUAUAAGCUACACUUUGUGGACUGUGGUCCCGCUAUUAAACAGUACUUUGAAAAGCCCUCCUGAUCACCAUUUUUGUCACUGGUCACAAAGCAGCAGGAGUUUGAACUGAUCCAGGGAUUUCACAAAACAAAUUGUCAUGGGAAUUACAAGUGGAAUUGCAUUCCGCUUCAGAAUCGGAGAUAGCUCAGACCUGAUCCCUACUGAGGUGUGAUCAAAAAAGCAACACAAGAAAAUAUAUCCCUGUAGUCAAAAUGACAAGUCAAUAAAUACUGUUUUGAUAGUGCAUUCUUGUUAGUACUACAACAGUUAAAAUUGCUUGUCAGAACAUCCUGCACUACACAUGGUAACAUUCCUCAUGUUUGCUUUAACCUGAAGACUAGGGCUGGUCAUGGUCUUCAUACUAGAGUUAUCAUUGUUCUGUGUAUUCUGGGAGAUACAUAGAGUAUCACAUUUUUCCAUAAUGUACUUGGUACGUUGCUCUUUGAAAAUCAUCUAGAAAGCAUAAAACUAUUCCUGUGUUCUCAAGCAAAUGUAUCACUCCAGCAAUAGUAAAUAACACAACACAUAGCUCAGGGAAUUCAAUUUCAAUUGGAUUCAAUCUCCUAAUUAUUUUGCAUAAUUUCUUGAUGUGAAACUUCAAUACAAGUAGUCAGGGACCUUAAAAUCUUUGUAGUAAAUAGCAGGGUUAUAAGUCUCAUGUGGUUAUUUCUAGUGUUCUUAGAAAGAAAGAAAGAAAGAAAGAAAGAAAGAAAGAAAGAAAGAAAGAAAGAAAGAAAGAAAGAAAGAAAGAAAGAAAGAAAGAAAGAAAGAAAGAAAGAAAGAAAGAAAGAAACAUCACCAUGACAGGCGAGCUAAAGUAUUUGACAUAGCAUUAUAUCUGACCAAAAUCCAACCACAUUUCUAGCUACUGAUCAAGAAGAAAUUCUAUUCUCCUCUGCUUCACAGACAUAUAAUAUUUAUAAUAUAAUGAUAUAUAAUAGUCAUCAUCUAUUUUAGAUUGUUUUUAUAUGGGUAACAGAUAUUAGAAUGCAGCCACUACUUCAAUUCAAACUAAGUCAUGGUAUCUCUGCCUGCGGUAAAAUGCAACAUGCUUUAGGGUGCCAGGAGAGGAAUACCUAAAUUGAACAUUAGAUAUAACAGACUUUCAUAUCAUGUAAUUAAAAAUAUACUGUCAUUGUUUUUGGAGACGUUCUCCUGUUGGAUGCCUUUGUUUUAGAGUAUUUCUGGUAACUAACACACUGUGACAGACCAUGGAAACUAGGCCAAAAUUUUUAAAAAAAUUCUCAUCCAGAGGCUUGGUGUUUAAAGUGGCUAGGCUUGACAACAAAAAGACUCCUUACCAGACUGCAGAUAAACAAGAGCAGACUUAGAAAUGCUUUUUUCUUUUCUCUCAUCCAGCAGUGAUCUAACUCCCAGCACUCAGUGCACAGUAGAAACUCACUUUCUCCUUUCCCAGGAGAGACUUUGUUUUUUCUCUUUGUUCAACACAUGAAAAAAAAUAAAAAAUCAGGAAGAAAUUUCUUUUAGUUCUAUUUCAGCUGUGGUUGGUCCAGUAGGAAAAUUAACCAACACGCUUGUAAAAGCUGUAAAAACUCCCCUGAUCAACAUAGGGAAGUUAGGCUGUAGUCAUGCCUAUACCUAGCAUCAUUUCUGCUUAUCCAACGAGAGCUUAAUGCAAGAGGCAGUAGAAUGCAACAGGAAACAGAUUGCCUGUUUUCUAUAAGAAUUUUCCUCCUGCUAGGACAGCACAUGAAGCCAUGCCCUGGGCCUAGAGUUUGUGUUCUUCUGCUGUGCUGCAGCCCCCUGAGCCACUAUGUAACCUCAGUGUAAGUCACCAUUGUCCUUUUGCUUUUUUCAAGUGUAGUGAAUUUGGACAAUCAGAUACUCCUGACAAUACCCAGAACUCCUUCUUCUUCAAUCGUAACCUGAUCUGAGAAGUAUCAGAACAGUCUGGGAGUUCUGGAAGUGUAUGGUUGGGAGAAAAUUCCAGAAUUGCCUCACCUGAAAUAUGGCUAAAAUGCAAAGUUUUCUGACUAAAGUAAAUUAUCUCAAGGUCAAAUAAGGGUCCUAAGAAAAGAGCCCCUUACACUCUCAAAGCCCACAGUAGUCUAUGAUGUCUCCUUGAGCUGGGAUACAUCUGAGGGUAGGCUUUUUUUUGAGGCGCCUUUUGAAGUAGAAGAGUCCUUUAUAGGAUAAUAUCCCAUCAUCCACUGAGGGCCAAUGACGAGGGGGGAGAGUAGUUCACCAAAUGGGAGAAGUUCCUUGCAUGCAUGACUAAGUUUAGAAAUCUCCCCUUAGAAUAUCUUGUGUGUUAAGUUUCAGGUGAACCUUGCUAUUCUUAAAACUUUAAGUCACUGUAUUUGAUUGUAGUAAGCUCCAUUGAAUCAUUCUGUUAAAAUAGCUAUUGAUUGAGUUCUGAUUAAGUGCUACUAAGAAUCAUGCAAUUCUAACCCUGUGUCAUGGUUUUAUGAUUUUUGAUUACUGGUAUUCCACAUCAUAACAUCACAUAGUGCACUGGGAGUUAAAGAGUUAAUGUUCCAGUUCCAGGUGCCUGUCUGGAAGAGAAGAACUACAUACCCCAGGGGGCUUUGCAGUCAGAGAGGAGAUAUAACCUCUGGCAAGGUCACCUGAUGGCCCUUUUUUUUCCUUAGUCUCUCCUCCCUGUUGCUCAUCCUGACCGCGCACAUCACCUCAGCACAACUGUAAGGCCUACAGCUUUCAGAUACUCUCUCAUUAUAUUUGAUUUAUUUGCUUCAGUUCUAAUUAUAUUGUAUUAUAGUGUGUUAUCUUGCAUUCCAAUACCUUAUUUAGAAAAUUAGCUUGUUUCUUCUCAGAUCACUCAGAUCGUUGCUGCUGUUUUCAAUUAUUUUGGGGUCCCCUGUUUCCCUUUCCUGAAGGCAUGGAUUUUGCAAAAUCCCUCCACCCCACUAGUCACAGAACCGGGCUGAACCAGCCUGUAAACUGUUGACACCCUGUGAUAUACUGUAAAAGUAUUAAUAAACCCAAAAUCACUGCUAAAACUAGAAUUAUGUUCAAUCAAUCCACCACACCUGGAAAGCCAAAAUAUACAUACAUUUUAAAUUAAAUCCUUUGAGAAUGAAGAAAGAAUUGAACCUGGCUUUCAUUAUAUAAGAUACAGAUGAGUACAGUAGAAUUAUUCUAUUACAUUGCUUUGUGAAGAACCCAGAUGGAGAGGCGUAUACUCAUUAUUCUCUGAGAACACCAGUAGAUAGGCAUGGACUAUAGACAUGGAUAUGCUUUUCUCCUGGACCCCAGGUACCAAUAUUUCUUACCUGAAAAGAACCAAUGCUAUUCAGGAAACUUUUCAGUGAAACUGAGAUUGUGUGAUGAAGAGAUUGAAAGGUUUGGUCCAGGUUAGCAAUAGGGCACAAAUCCCUGUCACUCUUUGCCAUUCAUUGUAAGAGGAUGUUGAUCCAGCCAUGAACUGAAUGUCGAUCCAUUCUUGAAUAAGAGUGGGAAAAUUUUAAUAAACCACAGUUCAUUAAAAAUACUGACUCUCAUUACUAUGUUGGUGCUAUAAAGGUAUUAUCAAAUGAAAUAGUAACAAGAAACAUUAUUUCUCAUCAGAAUCAUUAGACUACAGAUUCUCUAGGCUUAGAUCAUAGAAUCAUAGGAUGAUUUGAGUUGAAAGAGACCUUAAAGACCAUCUUGUUUCAACCUUCUGCAAUGGCAAGGGACACCUUCCAGUAUAUCAGGUUACCCAAAGCCCCAUCCAGCCUAACCUUGAACACUCCCAGGGUUAAGGCAUUCACAGCCUCUGUAUGCAAACUGUUCCAGUGCCUCACCACCCUCAUAUUGAAGAAUUUCUUUCCAAUGUCUAAUCUAAAACUACUCUCCCUAGAUUAAAAGCUAUUCCCUCUUGUCCUAUCACUUAAUGCCUUUGUAAAGAGUUCUCUCUGGCUUUCUUGUAGUCCCCUGUUUUAGAUACUGGAAUGUCAUUAUCAGGUCUCCCCCAAGCCUUUUUUUCUCCAGGAUGAACAGCCCCAGCUCUCACCCUGUCUAGAUUUGAAUCCAAACCAUGUUACUAAGUCCCUGCCUAGAGGAGAACAGAUUUAGAUUUUUUUUCCCCAGGAAAUUAAAAAGAUUAACAGAGUUUCAGUCAUAAAUCUAGCCUCAUACUUGGUAACAGAACUAUAGGAUAUGUUUAAAGUGUUCAGAUUCAGAAAACUUAACAUACUCUUAAGCAAACUCCCAUCUUUAAAAAUAGAGUAAAUCUUUAACUGAUAUCUUCAUAAAUCUCACAUGUUCAUAUUUGUGUUUUUAUUUGGGAUUGAAAACACUGAUGAAACCAUAUAGAGCUCUAACUGAAAAUUACCACUUACCUUUGGCAGCAGGACUGCAUCUGCAGACUAUGCUGAAAUGCUGAUGUACAUGUCCCUGACUCAUCCCAUUUAAAAAUAAUACUGAGGGUUCUGGCAGAUGUCUUGUAGCAGCUUCCAGUGGUUAUUACAAUAUAAAGAAAAAGAAACAUUUUACAUCCCAGAUUCAUGAAUCCUUCUGAGGCAUGAUGUUUUAAAGCUGGGCUGGUGGACCUGAAGUCAUGAUGAUCAGCAAAGUACAGGAACUGAGAGUCUGUGUUGAAGAAAGCCAUUGGAUCAAGACUUUCAGAGAUUGAACUGUCUUCGUAUUUAAAAAAGUGUCCACCUUAAAGCCAAGAUUAAGGUCUCGGGCAGGGCCGGAUUCAAAGGAUUCAGUGGAUACAUAUCAUUCUGGGCUGGUUGUGUGUUACAGAUAAAAGUUUAUUUGCCAUGAAGACAGUAGAUUUUUCUGGGCAGAACACACAGCCAGAAAAGAUGAGCAGAUAUUGAAUUUCCUUAUUGGUUUUGUUAGUUAAAAAAGAAAAUUGGAUUGGUUACACCCAUAUGGUAUUUUGCAUAAUGUAUUUAUAAUGUAAUUAUAUUUAUUAAUGAUAUAUGAAUAUUGCUAUUAAGGUUCAUAUUUACAGAUUAAAAAAAAAUCUUCAUUAAGUUAUCUUUCAAAGAAAAUCCCCAUGAAUAAUCUCAAAGUCAAAAAUGUGCUCAUGGAAACAAGUGAGAUAUUAUUUCACCCUUGUAUUUCUUCUCAUCCAUAUAUACACCUUUUUAAACAACAUGUGUCAUGUCUGCACUCAGCAGUGACGCGGAAACCAGAGGCUAAAAGCUCUGGAAUAAGAAACAGCCUGUGUUAGCAAAUAGCCCUGAAACUAGUACAAAGGGAGAGUGCUCCCAAAUGCAAACUUCUGCAUCAGAAUUGUGUGCUGCACCAUUAAUGGCCCUGAUCAGCAUUAACUGUGGCUCUGCUCUAAGGUGUAAACCUCAAAUGGCAAGGCAAACAAUGCCCUGAAGACUUCAUAACACUGAGAGGUCAACUGGUCAGCACAGCAAUAAAGGACACAUAGUAAGUUACAAAUACAGAGCAGUGAAACGUGACUGUGUUUCUUUUCGUCAGUCCUUUCCUUUACCAGAGGCAUCUAAAGGUAAUGCAAAAGCAAUUGAAAACAAAAUAAUCAAGAGAUCACUCUGGCAAUCUUGAGGUAAGAUCACUGUUUCCAAUUAUUUUCCUCACAGUAAAACUGGGACAAGGAGAGAGGGUUUGCAUAGGCUUUAUUUACCAGACCUGCUGUUCAAUACAGUCCUGGUGGAAGGAAUUAUUGCUAGCAGAGCAUAUCACAGCCACCCAGCUAAGUACACCUAUGCUGCAAGUUCAGUACAUACCAAAUCAAGGACUGAAGAAGAGCCAAGCUACCUUUUCUGAUGAGCUGUAUUUUAUGCUCCUCAACUGCAAUCUACUAGCUCCACAGUCCAAAUUCCAGUAUGUACCAACAUUAUCUGCCAAGUGCUAGAAAAGUUUAGAACAGCUGAGGAAAAGCUCAAACAGUGAACAGCACUAGGUAUUAGUUACACAAGCCUGAUAUUCCUUCAUUGCUGAGCACCAAAAGAUCCCAGUUGUUGGCAGCCAGAGUUUUUUAUUUCUUUUCAUAGAAAAUGGUUGACAGUAAUUCUACCUACAGCUAAGCUGCUUCAGGAAUAAGUACCAAAAGGAGAUGAAUGGCACACAGACUUCGAGCUGGAAGCUGAGGUGAGCUAUAUAGAACAGAAAGAAGAUAUUGAAGGUCAUGCUCUAUGGUUAUCAGUACACUUUCUGAAUAGCAACACAGAAAUAGAAAAAAUCAUUUGAAAUCAAGAUUUCUUUAAAACAGGAAAGAGGAACAGUGAGGCACUUUUAUAUCUUGGUAUCACUCUAAUAAAUUCUACUGCAACAUACAAAAAGAAACAUUAAGAUGCAAUUCUACUUUGAAUGUAUGCAUAUAAUUGGCUCAAAUAUUAUCCAUAGUAAAACCAAGAGGAAACACUGACAUUAGUAUGACCAAUAUUUCAUACAGCAUGUGCUAAAUAGGUAACAUACUCACUUGACCAAAUAUGUAUGUGAAUAUUGUAACAUCACAGUGAAUUCUUGCAUAUUAAUCUUAUAUUGUUGAAUCCUUGCAUAUUAAUCUUAUAUUGUUAUCCUUCUAGGUUUUUUGUUUGUUUGUUUGUUUGUUUUUGUGGGUUUUCCUUUUGUGUUUUUGUUAGUUUUCUGUUCUUUUUUUAUUAUUAUUAUUCUUAAGAUCAUGCCAUUUCUCAUUACCAGAAAUUUGAAUACUCUUAUGAUUUUGAUUAAAAUCUUCUUAGAAGAAAUAAAUAGGAUGCAGUAGGCUGAAGAACUAUAGAAACUAGUGUUCAUUAUUUUUCUUGCUUUGUAUUCUGAUAAGGUGAUUGAAUGACCCCAAAGCUGAAAUGCCAUAAUUGGUUGACAAAAAGAGGCAAUAAUUAAGGAGUAUCUACCUCCCAUUUACCCAGGAAGGGGACAAAGAAUAUAUUCUUUUCUCAUAUGCAACAUGUCAAUGUCAUAUAUUUCAAAUAUCAGUUGUAUCUCUUUCAUUAGUAUUUAUACCUUUUUACAGCACUGAAUUCACUAGAAACCUAGAUCCUUUUAUUACCGUACUGCAGCUCUUAAAGUCUUACUUUUAUAUAUGCUCAGGUCCUUCAACAUUAUUAUAUUUCUGUUGCCGUAUUCCUUCCAUCCAGUAGACACAGGUGCAGUGUUUUUAAUCAGUGUUUACCAUUGCAGCACCCGUAAAAAAACCACUAAUUGUGCAUAUAAAAAUAUCUGAUUAAGAAUUACAGAAAACUUGUCUUUUACAAAACGUAAUUUUGUGAGUGAGUGAUUAAAGUGAAGAUAUUAUUAGCUGUGUGAGAAAAUAUUUAUCUUUCUAUUUCAUGUGAGUAUUCUCAUCCUAUUGUAAUUUCCAAAUGAUAUGGCAUAGGACUUCCAUUGCUGCCAUUAAUGAUUUACCUGUUUUAAACUGAAAAACUAUGACUGCUUCAUUUGUUAGAUUACAUAGGUGCAACAUCUGUGGCCAGUCUGUCUGCAUAAAUGAAAUAUAUUUUCUGAUAUUAUGUCAUAUUUUGCCUUCAUAACUGAAGCUGAAUGAAAGACAGAAAACGGCCCCAAUGCCUCCAAGCUUUGGAGCAUACAAACAGAUUGAGAAGGGUAUCAUCUGCACGUGUUACUGCAGCAGCCUUCUCUUUGUUUUCAAACUCAACUCGGAUUCAUUCCAAAAUAUCCAAGUCCAAACCUAAUUUCUGGCACGACCUGCAGGAUCAAAUAUGUCUCCUUGGCAUUCACUUGCUAUGAGAAAGCCUCAAAAGGACAAUGAAUGACAGCCAAACUGAUUAUCAGUUUCAGUGAGUGAAGGUCAGCAAGUGUAACAUCUGCCUUGCUGGUGCUUGCCUACAUAUUCAUGUGCAACUUUCUGCUCAUCCAGAGGUCACAAAAACUCACAGAAUGAACAAGAUCCCAGAGGAUACCUCUGUUUCCUUAGACACAGUGACAGAUUUUUCUCUUACAUUUGGGUAAGGGAAUUUUUGGUAAAUAUGACUGACAGAAGUAGCUGCAUGGGUCAAAAUCACCCCUUGGAUAUUUUUAAAAUUUGAUUAUACAAAGAUCAGGAAGAGAAGAAUGGCCAACAAGGCACAGGAAUAUUUAUUCUAUCCUUUACAGUAUAUGCUGACUCAUUAAGCUAAGGAAAAAGUGCUGAUAUUUUCACAGAACCUUUCCCAUUGAACAAAAACAAACAAAUGAAAAAAAAAUGCUGUCUCAUCAUGUAAUGUAAAUUAAUAUAACUCUGAUUAACUUUGAGUAUCUGUCCAUCAGUCUAUAUAAAAUCACAUCUUCAGAAUGUCAGCCAUGCAGUUGAGUGAGUAAUGUCCAAAAUAAAUCUGAAAUGCUAUUGAAAGUGCACUGUUUCUUCUCCCACGAUAUAGGGGAGUGAUCUUGUCAUACCAUGAACAACUUUAAAAAAUGCUCAUGAAGUGCAAAUUAUUUUUUUAAUCAAAUAUUACACUAUUUGGAUGAGUCCAGUGCUAAAUUUUAAAUCCUGAAAGGAUAACUAAGGGUUCAGAGAUAACAACCUCUACAGAGGUCAGAUUCAUUGCUCUGGAAAUCUGGAACCUUGGGAGUUGUAGGAAUAAAAUCAUAGAAAGAAGGAAAGAAGGAAGGAAGGAAGGAAGGAAGGAAGGAAGGAAGGAAGGAAGGAAGGAAGGAAGGAAGGAAGGAAGGAAGGAAGGAAGGAAGGAAGGAAGGAAGGAAGGAAGGAAGGAAGGAAGGAACAACAGAAUUAGAUAUUUUUGCACCUGACACCCAUUAGAUUUAUGUUUUGAUCAUUUUAGUUUCAAAAAAUAUUUUUUUGUUUGUUUGUUUGGAACAACAUUCUGGAAGUUAUCUAAAGAAUACUCCCUUUCAUAAACCAAAUAGAAAUAACUCAGUGCAUCUGCCUCCAAGUAACCUCAAGUAAAUCAGUUGUCAUGAUACAGGAAACCAGAUGUGAAUUCCAACAUCGUAGCAGUGGAGCUGAAGUGGCUGAGGUGGAACUGCUCUCUAAUGGGUACAUUUUCCAUCAUACAGUUGCAAAACCGUUGCAUACUUGCACAGACUCCUCAGCACCCUAACAGUGACAAAUAUCACCAAGAAAGGUGACCAUUGCAAAGAGCAAAAAAGACUACGGGUUUCUCACUACAUGUAUUCUAACAGUCUUCAUCUUCCUAGAUCUAUUGUUCUCAUUUUUGUUUUUGUUUUCCCAUGUUUUCUCAGUAUUUAUACUAAACAACAAAACUAAGAAAAAAUGUUGAUCAUCAACACAGGAUAUAAAUGUUUAAGACUCUUGAUGUUUAUUCUACAAGCACUGAGACUAAGUCACACUUGUUAACUAAAAUUGAAUGUUUAACAGCUAGAAAAACUUCAUAUUUCAAUUUGACAUUUUAAGUGAAACACAGAAGUACAUGUAAGUGCAAUUAGAGUGUUAUAAAAAAAAAAAAAAAACACCUGUGAAAGGCAGAAACAAAAGAAGGCAUUAGUGUGUAAAGUAAUUCUAGUAGGUAGGUUGGAAAAAUUAGUUUCAUAGCAAUGACUUAAUUCAACAUGUGCCUGAGGCAACAGCAAAAAAGGUUAAAUUUCCUUUCUCAAUCAAAUUUUAUAUUCUUGCAGAAGAUGUUAUUUCAUAUUCUUGUGUUAUAUUAAUUAAACACAACAGAACCAGGAGAUAUCAAGACCCGCUAUUAGUACAAGCUGGGGAAUGUAUGGAUGGAGUACAGCCCCUCCGAAAAAGACUUGGGAGUACUGGUGAAAGGGAAACCAGACAUAAGCUAGCAACUUGCUCUUGAAGCCCGGUAUGCCAACUGUAUGCUGGGCUGCAUCAAAAGAAAUGUGGCCAGCAGGUCAAGGGAGGUCAUCCUGCCCCUCUGCUCUACACUGGUGAGACCUCACCUGGAGCUCUGAAUCUAGAUGUGGAGUCCUCAGUACAAGAGAGACACAGAUCUGUUGGAGCAGGUCCAGAGAAGGAUCACAAAAAUAAUCCAAGGGAUGGAACACCCCCACUAUGAGGAUAGGCUGAGAGAGCUGGGACCGUUCAGCCUGGAGAAGAGAAGGCUCCAGGGAGACCUGAUAGCAGCCUUUCAGUACCUAAACGAGAAUUAUAAGAAAGGAGACAGACUAUUUAGCAAGGACUGUUGUGGUAGGACAAGGGGAAAUAGUUUCAAAGUAAAAGAGGGAAGAUUUAAUUUGGACAUAAGGAAGAAAUUUUUUACAAUAAGGUUGGUGAGGCACUGGCACAGGUUGCCUAGAGAGGCAGUGGAUGCCCUUUUCCUGGAGACAUCCAAGGUUGGGCUGGACAGGGCUCUGAGUAAUCUGAUCAAGUUGUAGGUGUCCCUGUUCAUUGCAGGGGAGUUGGACUGGGUGGCCUUUUAUUGUCCCUUCCAGCUCAAAUGGUUCCGUGAUUCUAUGAUUCUACGAGACACCAGCACAAGGUUAUAUCUCCAUCUGCUGUAGACAGACCACGAAACUCAUUGCAAGAGAUAUUCAUUCCAUAAAAUCAGAGUAUGCAAAACAGAAUUUCUUUUCUUUCUUACCUCAGAUAAUUUCACUCAUAUACUGUACAUCUUCCAAAUGCUCUGAUUUAAACUAUGAACUUAAUACAUUAAACACAGGUGUAGCUCUCCAUUCACAAUGUCCUUGCCACCAUCUGUGUUUUAAGAAAAUUUUAAUUCCAGGCGAAAACAUUUUUGUUCUUCAUUCACAGUAAAUUACUGUAUGAAUAGCAUGAGGGGUGUAUUCCUUUAACCCUUAUCCUUCAAAUAAAUUGAGUAGUUUUUAUUAAUUAUUAAAUACUAUUUGUUAUUAAUGAACAUUCUCUUGUCAUUGUCCUGGACUACACAGUGUUUAUUAGAGGAAAAAAAACCAAACAAAAAAGAAGAACAAAAAAACCAAAACCAAAAACAAACCAACAACCGUCCCCCUCCCCCCCCCCCCCCCCAAAAAAAAAAAAACCUACCAUGAUUAACAUGGAUUUAUUUAUUAGGAUAAAUGGAUUUGUUUAUUAGGAUAAAUUCUAAUUAGACCUUAGAUGGCGUGUUCCACUGUUGUAACUGCAUAUAUAAACACAGCAUAAGAGAAAGACAUGUAACAUAAAUAAACUGAAGAAAACAAUUGCCAAGGAAAUUACCAAGUCUCAUUUGAGCACGCUUUUUGUUCUUAUCUAGCCAGAGCCUUGUUCACAUGCUUAACCUGAAACAUUUCAGAGGAACUAGAGAGGUAAAUGGAAAUACACACUUACAUGCUAACAACUCAUGACAGAUGUAGGAUAUGAUGCGAGACUGUGUCUUUGUAUCAGAGGAAUGUAUGUUGUGUCCUCUUCAGAUCUGACUGAAAACUAAUUGAUUUAGUUCUCAGGUUCAUUUCACUGAAUAACAUUUUCAGAAAUAUUGUCUAAUUUUGAUCUUAAGUUAACGUGAUGUGAUGAAACACUUCUACUUUGAGCUAAAUAAUGUAUAAGAAAAAGUGACUCUAUGCUAAGUUUCCUAUUAAAUCUAGAAGUCUCUAGUUGAGUCAUUUAUGUGCAGUUCGUGAGGUCAAACAAUUUACUUUCUUAUGGUUAAUUAUAACUUUUGAGGGAAACUAAAAGGCCUUCAUAUUGUGUUUCUGCAAAUAAUUACCAUUAAUGUGAUUAAAUUCAUGUUUAAUACUUAUCUAAAUUAGCUCAUUAGCUUGUAUGGAUGUUUGAAAACCUCCAAAGACUGAAAAAUAUUCAGCUUUCAUUACAUUCUUGAUACUGAUCUCUCAGACUGUGGAUAUCAUAUUCAUUACUCUCUGUAUACAUAGUACUAUAUGGAAUAUCACUUGUUUCAUAGCAAUUAUUAUGCAAAUCCCAAGAUCUACUUGCUUGACACUCCCCAGUGACAAUGAAAUCUUGUUUGGCUUAAAUAAUCAUUUGGGAGCCAUUUACACUGUGACUGACUAUUACAGGUUGUAUAUAGUGGGAACUGUAUUUUCUUACAUUAGAAAGUAAUAUGAAAAAGAAAACAUCAACAGAACAAUAUUUCUGUUUCCCUGCGACUAAAAUACUGGUGCCUAGGUCCUUUUUUUCCUGGAGUUUAAGUUACUAGAUUAAAAGAAAAAAAGAAAAAGCAAUGCCAGAUUGGUCUGUAUUACUCUUGUUAAUGCUACCUAUAUUUCUUGUACUGGGAAGCUUUUCAUGGACUGAUUUCAAUUAUGCUACUCAAAGAGGUAAGCACUUCUCAUAAGAAGUACAUAGCUUUGUUCUUGUUAUCAUUCCUCUUCGCUAAAGAAAGUAGAAGAAAACAGUAAAUGAGAAAUCUUUCAAAGUAAUUUAAUUGAUAAAGCAACUUAUGUCUUACAGAAAACAGUAAAUGCAUAUUUAUACAUUGUUAUAUCAUUUAACUUUUUACAAAGAUGCAUAAAUAUAUACCUAUAUAACAUUACAAUGAUUGAAGAGAUGGAAAACAUUUUCUCUCAAUGCAACAACAUAGCUUUUUUAUUAACUAGAACUCUGAAUAAAAUCUGAUUUUUAUAAUCAGUAGGACCAAAAUCUCAGUUGUCUAUGAGAUUCAUCAUUAAUCCUGAUUUCUUUGGAGCAGUUAGAAUUUUAUUUUAUGUUCAGCUUUUGUAACUCCAUUUCCUGGAAUACUGAGUACUAUUAAAAAAAAAAAAAAAAAAAGUAAAACCUUAAAAUUAUAAGACUUCCUGGCAUUCAUUGAAACCACAAAUUGAGAUUCAAUUAAGUAAAUUCCUGCUGACAAAGCAUCACAACAGGUUAAUAGAGGAAAGCUUUUUGCUCUUACUUCUCCAUAGUCUCAAGAACAUUAACUCCAUUAAUUGUGCUAGAUUAAAACAUACCUGUAAAAAAUAUUCACCAUUCAGAACUGCUGACAUGUUAGUUUAUUAGAUAAGCCUGCAAACUUUUAGCUACAUAUUGUAUGCUCAUUCUCCUCACUAUUUCUAAGAAACAUUUAUUUCAUAAACAAAUUUACUAACUAGUAGACACAUUCUUAUAGUGAAAAGAAUAGUUAAAUCACUUCCUCUCUGCUACCAUUUGCUUCCAAAUUCCAAAAUAUUUUCUUCAGCAUAGAUAUUGUAGGUUGUAUUUUUAUUUAGUAGUGAAUCAUUUCCGACCUUAAAUAAUUAAAAAAGAAAAACAACAACAAAAAAAAAAACACAUGCACACAAAACAAGCAAACAAAAAAACCCAACCCACAACCAUAGUUAAACAAAACAGAUUCUGUGAUCUGACACUCAUUAUCCUUCCAACCAUUGUAAUUCAAACAUCGUCCAUAUAAACAUAAAAAAAAAUCAACCAGUAUAUUAAUCAUCCAUCUGAAGCAAGCAAUUUGUCUUCCAUAUCUGUAAAUCUCAAAGCCAGGAUUUCUCCCCACUUUUGAUAAACCUCUUUCUGAAGUGGUCAGUAAAACCAAAGGUGUGUCGCCAGCACUUGACCUAAUUGAGUGGCUCCCCUCUGGCAAUCAGGAACACUCUCUUCUGCUGCUUUGAAAUGCCUCAAUUUAGAUGCAGGGGUUACUUCACGUGUUAGUGGAAUUCAUAGAACCAUAGAAUCACUCUCCACACAAUCCACAGGUUGGAAAAGACAUUAAAGACAAAUCCAACUAUGACCACCCCAUUCUACUCUAACAAACCUCUGCAAAAUCAUGUCUCUGAGCACCACAUCCAAAGAGUUUUUAAACACAUACAGGGAUGGUGACUCUACCACUUCCCUGGGGAGCCUAUUCCAAUGCUUAACAAGCCUUUCUGUAAAGUUUUUCCUAAUAUCCAGCCUAAACUUAUCCUAGUGCAACUUAAGGCCAUUUCCCCUCAUCCUGUCACCUGUCAACAGUGAGAAGUGGCCAACCCCGCUCUCGCUGUAAACACCUUUCAGAUAUUGGAAGAGAGGAAUUAAGUCUCCCCUCAGCCUCCUCUUCCCCAGACUAAACAGCCCCAGUUCCUUCACUCGCUCCUCAUAGGGCACACAAGAAGAUUUUAAAAAAAAAAAUCAAUUUAGUUGAUUUUUUAUUCACACCAAUAAUUUCUUUUUCCCUCCUUUCAAUAUAUAUUUUUAUAAAAUGUAAAGGCUAGAAUCUUCUGGUACUUCCCUGAAAAGGAAAAUUUCUAAUCUCAGAAGAAUGUUCCCAAGUAUUAUACCAUUCAUGGGACCCAAGUCUUUCCCUGAGAAUGGAGUCUAUCUGUAUUUUAUUUCGAGGUUUAAUUUUCAUUGUAGGCAGCUAGGCUAUGAUUUUUGCUUCCCCUCUUUUUGCUAUCUGUACAAUCAUGUGUAAAUUAGAAAUACUGCCGAUAUGUUAUUCUUCAAAUAAAUUAUUCCAAGCCAUUCCAUUUGUAUGGUUAUGUAGCCAGGAAAAUGCAUAAAUAAAAGUAAUGUAUUCCAUAAAGUCUAUAAAAUAUAUUGCUCUGACUCAGGGCUGCAGUUAUUUUUGGAUGCAAACAGAAAGACCUGUGUUUCACCCACACAUUGGUCAGGUUUCAUAAUGGCAAGCAAAAGCAUUAUAACACCACAACCCAAGCUCCAGGUGGGAGCCUUCCUCUGCCCUUACCUCCAACCAUAAGGCAUGUGUCCCCUGUGAUUCUCCUGCUGCAGGGGAUCCUGCAGCUCCCUGAGGUUGCCACCUGCUGUGGCUCAACAGGCUACAGACCAGAGUUUCCCACUGUCUCACUCCUUCAGCAUUUUUGCAAGAAGUAGCCUAAUCUUGAUCAUUUCUUGCCUAGAAUCCACUUGUGCCCUCACAUCUAAAUGCACCACACUGGCAAGACUCUGGGAAAGCAGAUUAUACGUUUAUUAGUGCAACACAAUUGAGGUUUCUGCUUCCUAGCCCUGUUUUUAAUCCAGCCCCAAAUCUUACUUCUCAAUCUAGAUCUCCCCAUCAUCUUCUAUGGACAAGGAUCAGGUACAGAAAUAAGCAUCUCACGCAGCUUUUCUACUAGAAAAGGCUAACAAAGUUGCCUAAAGGCUGGAAAAACAAUCACGUACAGUCAUAUCAGCUAUUUUUUAUUAAUCUACCAUAGCAAUUUUUAAAGAGUAAUAUUUGACUUCUUCUUGGCUGAGGUAUGUAUGUGGGUCACUCCAAAAGUAAUGCCUCCCAUGGAAAUUACAGUAGAUACAAAGAGCACAAUAACGCUAUUUGAUAAAGCAAAUUCUCAGAUACAAAAUGCUCCUUUUCAAUAUAGUUGCCACCAUUAUCUGCACAUUUUUGCCUGUGAUGAACGAGAGCCUGCAUGCUAUGCUCCUAAAUAUCUGCACCAGUGAAAGUGACCCACAGUCACAACCUCACUGUACUCACAUCCAUUGUUUGAUCUCCACAACCAUUCAGCAAGCGUCAAUGAAUGUCAAUGGGUACCAUCUUUUCCUGCUUGGAGGAAUUCAGUGACACACUUUUGUUCUAUAUACACUUCAAAGUCAGAAGCCAUUGUGUCAGACUCUCCCUCUUCUGCCAUCUCUCAUGCAGCAACAAAAUGUAAUGGAAUUCUGGUGGUUCAGUCCCUACUCCUAUACCAUUAACAUCACUUCUUGUGUCAUGAGUCAACAUAAUGAUAUAGAAGGCAUUACUUUCAGAACAACCCUUGUAUAUCAUAGUGACUGGGAGACUUAUUCUUAGUCUGUGUGAGGGGAUAAGAUUGACCAUCAUAUAUAUAUGAGGAAAUGUCAUAUAUGGCAUACGGAUUGAGCAUGUCAUGGAGACAGUGACAUGUACUAGAGAUGCUCAGUGUCUGCUGUGAAAUGCCAUGGAACUACAUGGAAACAUAGCUCAAAAUUACAUAUGAGAAACACAAAAUCUUUUAAUUCAUUUUAGAAAAUGACAUCUACACAAAAAUGUGUGCUUAUUUGAAAUGAUAUCUUUUUCUACAUUGUAUAACUGAAAUAUUUUGAAUACA
ensembl:lncRNA